rnacentral:snRNA from 1 species
GUAGUACAUAUUCUAAAAUUGGAAUGGCACAGAGAAGAUUAGCAUGGCCCCUGCACAAAAAGGGCAUGCAAAUUCCUGAAGCGUUCUAUAUUUAU